CACGUAGGGCGCAAGCGUUGUCCGGAAUUAUUGGGCGUAAAGAGCUCGUAGGCGGUCUGUUACGUCUGCUGUGAAAACCCGGGGCUUAACCCUGGGCUUGCAGUGGAUACGGGCAGACUAGAGGCAGGUAGGGGAGAAUGGAAUUCCCGGUGUAGCGGUGAAAUGCGCAGAUAUCGGGAGGAACACCGGUGGCGAAGGCGGUUCUCUGGGCCUGUGCUGACGCUGAGGAGCGAAAGCGUGGGGAGCGAACAGG
rnacentral:rRNA from 1 species